rnacentral:rRNA from 1 species
UACGUAGGGUGCAAGCGUUAAUCGGAAUUACUGGGCGUAAAGCGUGCGCAGGCGGUUGUGCAAGACCGAUGUGAAAUCCCCGGGCUUAACCUGGGAAUGGCAUUGGUGACUGCACGGCUAGAGUGUGUCAGAGGGGGGUAGAAUUCCACGUGUAGCAGUGAAAUGCGUAGAUAUUGGGAGGAACACCAGUGGCGAAGGCGGCUACCUGGACCGGUUCUGACGCUGAGGCGCGAAAGCGUGGGUAGCAAACAGG